rnacentral:rRNA from 1 species
AUUGAACGCUGGCGGCAGGCCUAACACAUGCAAGUCGAGCGGAGCGGCGGACGGGAGAGUAAUGCCUAGGAAUCUGCCUGGUAGUGGGGGAUAACGUCCGGCAACGGGCGCUAAUACCGCAUACUAUCAGAUGAGCCUAGGUCGGAUUAGCUAGUUGGUGGGGUAACGGCCUACCAAGGCGACGAUCCGUAACUGGUCUGAGAGGAUGAUCAGUCACACUGGAACUGAGACACGGUCCAGACUCCUACGGCAGGCAGCAGUGGUGAAUAUUGGACAAUGGGCGAAAUCCUGGUCCAGCCCUGCCGCGUGUAUGAAGAAGGCCUUAGGGUUGUAAAGUACUUUCAGCGGGGAGGCGUUACCCGCAGAAGAAGCACCGGCUAACUCCGUGCCAGCAGCCGCGGUAAUAC